rnacentral:tRNA from 1 species
GGGUCGAUGCCCGAGUGGUUAAUGGGGGCGGAUUGUAAAUCCGUUGACUUAGUCUGCGUUGGUUCGAAUCCGACUCGACCCAGUUU